rnacentral:lncRNA from 1 species
GUGGCUCAGAAAUUUGCAAUCUCCAUUGCACUUUGAAGUUUUAAGAAGUAAGAAUACUCCUUUUAUCCUUAAUUAGCCAAAAUUUUUUAUGCUUAUACUUUUGACUUAAAGAUCCAAAUUACUACUUACAUUGUCAUUCUUCAACAAAAUUCACUGCUAGUGAUUCCAAGAAUGGACAUUUGAUGAAUAUUGAAGCAUGUUUUAAUUAAAAGAUCUUACACCUUAUUUUCAUUUUAGUGGCGCAUACUAUUGUUACUAGUACUUCCAAUAUUGCCGAGAAGAUAUUGGGUACUCAACAUCGUAUUUGGCUAAUAUUGGAAACUUGACAAUGUAAUAUGUUUUGGGUUUUUAUACAGCAGCCCAACAUAGAAAAGUUCUGGCUGGUUUUAUAUAACAUGUACAUGGCUUGGGUUGGUCAUAUUGUACCCAUCAAACAUGCAAUGCAUUCAUAAAGAUUUGUUUAUUAUAAAUUGGCUGAAUAGUGUGGGGUAGAUUAUGAAUCUUAUGUUUUUUCAUAUUAUUAAAAUUCUCAUGAUGUGGGCACCUCAAAAUCCUCUUAGAAUAC